CUCAAUCUCACUCUCUCCUCCCUUUUUCUUCUUCUCGUUUUCUCCUCUGUGUUGCAACCCGUCACAAUGUUUUCUUUCUUCUUCCUACCAUUCUCCCAUGCCAACUCCUUCUCAUCACCAACAUAGUCUUCUUCCUCUCUCAAACGCACUGCACCCACACAUCAUCAUAGCUUUUUCUCAUUCCUUUACCAACAAAACACCACCACCAUCAUGAAAUCACGUGGACAGCACCACAACACUACUACAAGCUUGCCAUCUUCUUCUUCAACAUAUCACCACCAUCUCUAAGGCCUUUUUACGGGUAGGAAUAACAGGAGCGUUUGGCGACGAAACAAAAGAACAAAAAAAAGGAAGCGAGCUGACACGGGAAAGCAAGGAUGUGAUUGAAUUGAAGUUGCAGUUUAGGAAAGAAAUUGGCUAAGCGAUGGAGAAUCUCGAAGAAACUUAACCCUUGUACGAGUCGGAGAUGAAGACUUGAAGAUUUGUGAAAGACUUAAAGAGUAGAGUCGGGUGUAAGGCUAGAGCAUUGGGUUAGAGAGCUUACCGUUAUUGGUUUAAGCUUACCUAAUGAUUUUUAGGAAUUUAUGUUCGAGUUUCCGGGUAGGUUACGAUGCUUUGCUUUCCUGCGGUUCCCCGAUGUGGAGAUCGUAGGGAGUAUGUCGGAUUUAUAGUGUCAUUGCAUAAUAGGUUUUUUGUUGAGUUGUUUCUAUUGGUUAGGUUUUGUAGGUUGAGUGCUUUCAGGUUUACCCUCGGGUACUUGCCUUGUUCAAGGCUUGAUGUAAAUUUAUUUACAGUUGGGAG